GCAAUAGAUCACUAGCACAGUCGUCCCACACCAGGUGCUGCCCUGCCCUCCUAUCUCCCUCAUUUUUCUCCUCCUAGAUCCCUCCAGUCCCCACCCUCUCCUUUCUAACAUGCUCUGCCUCCAGUUUUGAGGAUGGCUGUGAAACUUAGGAAAGGACCCUGGAAAGUAGAGCCAAACUGAAAAGUGUAAUUUGAAGUAGGAAACGGCCUCUGCUGAGACCACAGUUCUGAGCUUCCAAGUGUAGCUUGUGCCAUGGUGGUGCGCCGUACGAGGCUGUUAGUCCAUCCUCACCAGGUGGUUCAGGGCACAGAAGAGGACUGAUGUAAAAGGAGAAGCCAGGCUGCAUCCACAACCUUGUUCAGCCAUGAGGAGUGAGAAAGAAUGGCCGCUGGGCUCUGGUGAGAUGGAAGAGCCUCAGGAAAAAGCCCAGCUGAACCAGAGCUCAGGGGAUGAGGGCGGAGGGAGGCUCUGACCCCAGAGGAGACUUGGAAGCGGUGCCUGUGGAGGAGGAGAGGGAGCCCUCUCUGCCGUGGCAGCUGACACACGCUGUAGCCCAGGAUCCAGGACCACAGGCCUCAUAGGAGCUGAGGUGUUUCUUGAUCUUGCUCUGGAGCUGCUUCUGUAGAUCCAGGAAGAGAACAUGUUACACCAUGACUGCCUUUUGUGCGCCUUCCAAGGAAGGGAACCUCCCAUCUCCAUCACUGAAGUCCCAGUUCAAGCCCCCACCCCAGGAAGUCCUCCAGACUGCAGGCCAUGGGCACUGACCUGAGUGGCUCUGUGCUCCUGCCUAACCCCAGCCUCUGGGAGUUCUUCUCUGUGUGGGCAACCCCAUCCCCUCCCCACUCACCCACACUUCCCAAAUCUACAUGCACAACUCGCUUUGACUCCCUCCCUUUUUUCUAGCAGAAGCCCUCAGACCUCUGACCUCUUGCAGAAAUCCCACCAUAUGUGGGAUCCAGGGUGUUGCCACCUUCUCCAAGUCACAGUCCCCAUAC